AAAGAUUUAUUAUUGUAUGUGUUUAUUUUGGAUCACUUUAAAUUUGGAAUAACUAGAAAUGAAAAAAUCAGCCCAUUAAAACUGAAAGAGAGCUCUGAUGGUGACAGUACGAGGUAUACGUAGCCAUGUAAAAUUUUCUCCUCCGUGUCCCACACUGCUGAUCAGUUAUGUCAGAGAAUAUGAACACUGCAGAUAAAGAGCAGAAUUUCAUGAACGAAGUAAUACAGCCCGAGUUCCAAAACUGGGUUAAAGGCAUAAUUGCUCAAAAUAUAACGAGAAAAACAUUAUGCGAUGUCAUCGAAAGAAAAUGGAAAAUAUAUAUCUCCGAAUUGACGGAAGAAGAGGUAGAACACAUUAAAAUAUUUGUGACAUGUCUGGAAAAAAGUAACAUAACAAAUUUCAAAGCUGAAAUAAAGACACUCAGAUGCGGUCAUGAUGUUUGUGAAUCAUUACUAACUCAUCUCCUUGAACUUCGCAAUUUCUCUCCGGAGCCUCCAGAAACCGAGAACUUUCAAACAGGUGACAAAAUACAUAAGAGGCAUGAAGCUUACGAAGACAAACCUAUCGAAAAGGAGAAAACAGAAGCAGUACUGAAUUCGCAAAACAUAUUUUCUACCGAAUCUCUAAUCUGUUAUUGGCUUUUUGCAAAACUGUACGCUUCAACUGAAAAUGUUGUGUCUAGGAGUAGCCUGAAAGAACUUGAUAUGGUUAAUAUAGUUGAACUGCUUGAAAGAUGUGCAUUGUUUUCCUUUAGUGGUUCACAAAAGCUUUU